UUUAGAACCGAGCUGUUCAGGGUCCCAGAUCCUCUAAUGUAAUGCCAGCUGAACCCAGACAGUGACUUCCACCUCCAUGAAUGCAGGUGAUUGCAUCCUUUGAAAGCCUGUUUGCAUAGCAGACAAUGAAGCUGAGCAGAGAAAAACAAGAUGAGAGACAGAUGGAGUAGGAGACCUGAGAAGAUGGCUUGAGUCCAUGAAUUCUGGUGUUCCCUAGGCCACAUUUGCCCCCAUCCUUCCCAGGUAUGUGAAUCAAUAACAACUUCCUCCAUUUAUUUGUUUAUAAUUUUUUUUCGCUUAAGCUGUUUUGAAUUGAAUUUCUGUGACUUGUAAUAAAAAAGCCCUA
rnacentral:lncRNA from 10 species